GGGCCCGCACAAGCGGUGGAGCAUGUGGUUUAAUUCGAUGAUACGCGAGGAACCUUACCAGGGCUUAAAUGUAGAGUGACAGGGCUAGAGAUAGCUUUUUCUUCGGACACUUUACAAGGUGCUGCAUGGUUGUCGUCAGCUCGUGCCGUGAGGUGUCAGGUUAAGUCCUAUAACGAGCGCAACCCCCUACUGCUAGUUGCUAACAGGUUAAGCUGAGGACUCUAGUGGGACUGCCGGUGCAAACCGCGAGGAAGGUGGGGAUGACGUCAAAUCAUCACGGCCCUUACGUCCUGGGCUACACACGUGCUACAAUGGUAGAGACAAUGAGCAGCCACUGCGUGAGCAGGAGCGAAUCUAUAAACUCUAUCAC
rnacentral:rRNA from 1 species